rnacentral:rRNA from 1 species
AUUGAACGCUAGCGGCAUGCCUAACACAUGCAAGUCGAACGAGUGGCGGACGGGUGAGUAAUAUCUGGGAACCUGCCCGGUAGAGGGGGAUAACUACUGGAAACGGUAGCUAAUACCGCAUACUAUCGGAGGUGCCCAGAUGGGAUUAGCUAGUGGGUGGGGUAAAGGCUCACCUAGGCGACGAUCCGUAGCUGGUCUGAGAGGAUGACCAGCCACACUGGAACUGAGACACGGCCCAGACUCCUACGGGAGGCAGCAGUGGGGAAUAUUGGACAAUGGGCGAAAGCCUGAUGCAGCCAUGCCGCGUGUAUGAAGAAGGCCUUCGGGUUGUAAAGUACUUUCAGCGGGGAGGCGGUACCCGCAGAAGAAGCACCGGCUAACUACGUGCCAGCAGCCGCGGUAAUAC